AUAAGUAACGGUCAGUCCCCACAGGUUCGUCGCCUCCGGUUCCCGCCACGGGCUCUCUUUUUCCCCUCUCCCUCUCUCUCUCUCGCGCUUGGAAAUCUCUGAGAACCUGUUCUGAGAGAUCUGUGGAAAACAUGGAGAAUAUGCUGAAGGACUUCCAGGUGGAGUCCAAUAACAUGUCGGAAGCGGCUCAGAGGAGAUGGAGGAAAGCGGUCACCAUAGUGAAGAAUCCCCGCCGGAGGUUCCGCAUGGUCGCCGAUCUCGCCAAGCGCUCCGAGGCCGAGAAGAAGAAGCGCAAAAUCCAGGAAAAGAUACGAGUCGCUCUUUAUGUUCAAAAAGCAGCAAUACAGUUCAUUGACGCUGCUGGUCGAGCUGAAUACAAGCUAUCAGAAGAGGCUAGAGAAGCAGGUUUUAGCAUUCACCCAGAUGAACUUGCAUCAAUUGUUCGGGGUCAUGAUAUUAAGGGCUUGAAAAUCUUUGGUGGAGUUGAGGGGCUUGCGUCGAAAGUCUGUGUCUCGCUGAAUGAAGGAAUCAGUGAAAACGAUUUACCCACUAGGCAAAAAAUUUAUGGAUUCAACCAGUAUACAGAAAAACCUUCCAGAACUUUUUUGAUGUUCGUGUGGGAUGCAUUACUGGACCUUACACUAAUCAUGCUUAUGGUUUGUGCUUUGGUGUCUAUAGGUGUAGGACUUCCCACUGAAGGGUGGCCAAAAGGCAUAUAUGAUGGUUUGGGUAUUCUUCUUAGUAUAUUCUUGGUAGUCAUGGUUACUGCCAUUAGUGACUACAGGCAGUCCUUGCAAUUCAAGGAUUUGGAUAGGGAGAAGAAGAAGAUUUUUAUAAACGUAACUAGAGAUGGAAAAAGAAAAAAAGUUUCUAUAUUUGACUUGGUCGUUGGAGAUAUUGUUCACUUGUCAAUUGGUGAUCAAGUUCCAGCAGAUGGAAUUUAUAUAUCUGGAUACAGUUUGUUGAUUGAUGAAUCAAGCUUGUCAGGCGAAAGCGAGCCAGUUAAUGUACAUGAGGAGAAACCUUUUCUUCUUUCGGGAACUAAGGUGCAAGAUGGUUCAGGAAAGAUGUUCGUGACAGCAGUUGGAAUGAGGACCGAAUGGGGAAAGUUGAUGGAAACUCUGAGCGAGGGAGGAGAAGACGAGACUCCAUUGCAGGUGAAGCUAAAUGGUGUUGCUACAAUUAUUGGUAAAAUUGGCUUGACUUUUGCUGUGCUGACAUUUUUGAUAUUGGCAGUAAGGUAUCUAGUGGAAAAAGCACUUAACAAUGAGUUCACACAUUGGUCAUCAAGUGAUGCACUGACGAUUCUGGACUACUUUGCUACUGCAGUAACCAUUAUUGUUGUUGCAGUCCCUGAAGGAUUGCCAUUGGCAGUGACUUUGAGCCUAGCCUUUGCAAUGAAAAAAUUGAUGGAUGAAAGGGCACUUGUGAGGCGUCUCUCCGCAUGUGAGACAAUGGGUUCUGCUAGUUGUAUUUGCACGGAUAAGACGGGAACAUUGACCACAAACCAUAUGGUGGUUGAAAGAAUAUGGAUCUCUGAAAAAAUUGUGGAGGUAAAAGGUAAUGCAAUUGAUGAUGUGUUGACAUCAGAAAUAUCUGGAGGAGUUCUAGGCAUCCUAUUGCAGUCGAUAUUUCAAAAUACUGGUUCCGAAGUAGUUAAGGAUGAAAGUGGAAAGAGUACCAUUUUGGGAACGCCAACAGAAUCAGCACUCCUAGAAUUUGGCUUGCUUUUGGGGGGCAAUUUUGAUGCCCAGCGCAGAGACUUUAAGAUACUUAAGGUUGAGCCUUUCAAUUCAGUGAGGAAGAAGAUGUCUGUGCUUGUUUCUCUUCCUGAUGGAGGGGUACGUGCAUUUUGCAAAGGUGCAUCUGAAAUGAUAUUAAGAAUGUGUGACAGAGUUGUAGAUAGCAAUGGAGAACCUGUUCCUCUUCCUGAAGAACAGGAAAAGAAUAUCGCAGAUGUUAUAAAUGGCUUUGCAUCCAAAUCUCUGAGGACUCUAUGCUUGGCUUUUAAAGAUAUAGAUAACACUUGCAAUGAGAACAACAUCCCUGAUAAUGGUUAUACAUUUAUAGCAGUUGUUGGAAUCAAGGAUCCUGUGCGCCCUGGGGUCAAAGACGCAGUUAAAACUUGUUUAGCUGCUGGAAUAACUGUUCGUAUGGUCACUGGUGACAAUAUAAAUACAGCUAAGGCCAUUGCUAGAGAAUGUGGAAUACUCACAGGGGAUGGGGUGGCCAUAGAAGGACCAGAAUUUCGUAGCAUGUCUCUUGAGCAGAUGAAGGAAAUUAUACCAAGAAUUCAGGUUAUGGCUCGGUCUUUGCCACUGGACAAGCACACCUUGGUAACCCAUCUGAGGGGUAUGUUUGGUGAGGUUGUUGCAGUUACUGGCGAUGGGACCAAUGAUGCCCCCGCUUUGCAUGAGGCAGACAUUGGACUUGCAAUGGGCAUAGCAGGAACAGAGGUCGCCAAAGAAAAUGCUGGUGUCAUUAUAUUGGACGACAACUUUGCGACUAUUGUUAAUGUAGCCAAAUGGGGACGUGCAGUAUAUAUAAACAUUCAAAAAUUUGUGCAGUUCCAGUUAACUGUUAAUGUUGUUGCCUUGGUGCUCAAUUUUGUUUCUGCAUGCAUCUCUGGAUCUGCUCCCCUAACGGCUGUACAGUUGCUUUGGGUAAACAUGAUUAUGGACACUCUUGGGGCGCUGGCAUUGGCUACAGAACCUCCAAAUGAAGGGCUUUUGAAGAGGCCGCCAGUUGGUAGGGGUGUGAGCUUUAUCACUAUGGCCAUGUGGAGAAAUAUUUUUGGUCAAAGUAUAUAUCAACUUGCUGUCCUUGGCGUUCUCAAUUUUGAUGGGAAACGGCUACUAAAACUUAGCGGUUCAGAUGCCACUGAGGUUCUCAACACUCUGAUAUUCAACUCGUUUGUGUUUUGCCAGGUGUUUAAUGAGAUAAACAGCCGGGAUAUAGAGAAGAUAAACGUAUUACGAGGAAUAUUUAACAGCUGGAUAUUCCUAGGAAUCAUGGUUGGCACAGUGACUUUCCAAGUAAUCAUAGUUGAGUUUCUGGGCAAUUUUGCAAGCACUGUGCCACUAAGCUGGCAACUAUGGCUACUCAGCGUCUUACUUGGAUCAGUUAGCUUGCCGAUUGCUGUUAUCCUAAAAUGCAUCCCUGUCGGAAGAGAUACAACUAAGCACCAUGAUGGUUAUGAUGCGCUCCCCACCGGCGAAGACCUGGCUUGAGACGGGGAAGGAAGAGGAGGAGAAGGAGCCGCUUUGUUUUUUCCUUUUCUGAAGCAACUCUAGAGAUUGAAGCAUAUGUUUGCAGCUAAGUUUGACCUUCAAACCUAGAUCCCCCCAGCUAGAUGGGCUGGUUAGCAAAAAUGAGGGAAUCAAAUGGGCCCAAAGAGAGUUGUUGGAUCGUUUCCGGAUCAGAUAGACAAACAGAGCAUAUACAUUCAUCUUGAUCAGUAAGGUGCUUGAGUCAUCCUAUCCAACCCAGUGGCCAUUGUGGAGCCCAAUUGAGAAAGGGGCUGAUUGAAUUUCCAUUUUAUCCAAAAUUGAACAUAACCAAUAUUCCCAUAUUCAGAGUCAAUCGGCUAAAUCAAAUCAUUCAAUUCAGCAUUAAGACUUAAGAGUAGGGUUAAAGGGAAGAGUAUAUAUUGAAAAAAUGAGCAACAAAAUAAGAGC